rnacentral:misc_RNA from 1 species
UUGGUCGGAAAAAUAAAUUUAUUAAAGACUAAUUAAUAUAGUUUUAGAAAUAUAUAGACUGACUAGUUAACAUUGUGAAUCCUCUAUGAACUAAAUAAAAUUUACCUUUAACAAAAUUACAACUCUAGUUGACUUGAGUAAAAAUAUGAGAACCCAAAAGCUGAGAUGGGUUUGCUCAGCAUUGAUGUGAUGUCAUAAUCUACGUUUAUCAAUUUUCAUGAAUCCUCGCAACUGGUGCACUAAAUUUCAGUGGAGAAGAAUACAUUCUGCCUACUUUAAGGCUCCUAAGGGUUUGGUCUCUAUGCAGUAUGAUACAAGUAGCCCCCGUCUAGAAGAAUAUGUAGUCUAUCCUCCAGCGGGAUGGCUGAAGUGGAUUCAUCAACUGAUGCUUCCGGCCACAGAAGAAGAAAUUAGUCCCUGCGAAACAGAAAGCCAAAGAUGAAAAGUUAGCUUUUCAUUCAGGAAGAUGGCGACACGUAUGUGAGGCAAUGAUUGUAACUUUUCCAAAUGCUGCUACAAAGAAACGAUGCCGAAAAUAUCAUAGAGAUUAAGUGCUCCUACUGCAAAUUCAAGCUUAUGUCAAAACACAACAUCAAAAUUGGCAAAAUCAAUUAUCAUCUUCACUUAUCCAAAGGUAAAGAUUUUUCAGGCGACAAAUGUUGGCAGCAGCUUCCUUCUAAUGGGGAAACGGAAAACUUUAUAGCCUAUGGAACAUAAAAUGAAAAGAUAUAAUUGUCAACAGGACCCUUAUACAAUAAGACCAUCCUAAUUCCAUGCCUUGUAUUGAAAGAAAAAACUUCCACAUCAAAUAUCUAGUUAUAAAGAUUGAUGUCCAAGGCAAAACAAAAAUCCAGCCAUUAACCUAUUGGAAAAAAUGACAAAAUUCAUACAGAAAUAUGCAUUAGAUUAAUGGGCAAAACACAAAAAAGUAUCCUCUGGUUUAGCACAUUUUCAAUUUUGGGCAUGUGUUUUGUUUUGUGACAAACAAGUAACCAUGUAUUUUGCUCCGUUAGCAAGAAGGAGACAAAACCCUAUCGCCAUCAACUCAACUAGUUAUUCAGAAGUAUUGCCAUCUCAGCUCAAAUUAGAAGGUGUUACGGAAUUUAGCGCAUUGUCAAGUUUGGGCAUGUGUUUGGUUUCAUGACAAACAAGUACUACGUAUUAUUUUGCUCCAUUAGCAAGAAGGGGACAAAACCCUAACACCAUUUAGCUUAACUAGUUAUUCAAAGUUGCCAUGUUAGCUCAAAUUAGACAGUGUUAAGGAAUUUACCAAAUUUUGCAAAUUAAGCAAAACACAGGGCAUCUAUUUGCCACGAAACAAUCCAUAGACCCAAACUUGAAAAGGCACUAAAUCAUGUGGUAUCUUUUUUGUAUUUCCCCUAUAUUAAUAUCAGAACCCACUUGGAUAAGUGUUCACAAGAAAAUGAAGAAACAAAAAAACCAGGUCCCAAUACCAUCCAUCAAUUUAGGAUUGAUGCACAACCAAGCAUCAUAAAGACAUUAGACUUGAGCUCUAGCAUUCUGUUUCAAGAGUCAGAUGCAUGACUUUUGGCACAUUCAAUACUGAAAUGAAAGUGAUAAUUUAAUGAUGAAAGAGUUUUCAUGGUUUCUAAAAUAGCUUAUCAACACUGUAAAGGUCAGUAAAGCUACAAUUAGUUUGAAGAAAAGUAAACCACGUAUGCUGAAAAUAAUGGCAAAUGCAUGGAAUUAUAUGUUGAAAAUCACAACAUAUGUGACAAACUUGAGAUUAGAGCGUAAUAAAUGUAAAAAACUUCAGGGAAGAUAACAAACCAUGGAGGGAAUUAAGGCUAUACUUUAUCUGGUAAUCUUUGUGAAAUGAAUACAAUUCACAGCCUUCAAUGCAAAUGCACAUUUAUGGUGUUCAAUUUCAUAUCUUGUGCUUCAAACUAACAUCUCUAUUGAAAAUAAUGCACAAUGCAAGAACUGGACGCUGCAGUAGUUGAAGAUAAGGUGAGCAUAAAUCUAAAUAACAUGGUUUUGAAAGUAGACACACAUAUAAAACCUUUGAUAUUCUUAUGCUUACUAUUGAUAAUACUGUAUCAUAAUUUUUAACAUCUUUCAGAGCUAAAAUCAAAGCUAAAAUGACAAGAAGUAAACAUCAAUUCCUUUUCCUUGAAAUGCAUUCUUAGAUUUUUUAUUUGUGACUGAGCUCAUGAAAAGUAUGUGUUCCUAUAUAUACUAACAUAGCAUAGAAGUUAACAGCUUUCAGCUGCUGAAUUGUAAAAGAAAAAGCUAAACUAAGAAAAAUUUGAGCCAAGACAUUGUGUCUUUAUUGAUUGGCUGUGCGUCUUCUUUGAAAUGAAGCCCAGUUCAUUGAUGACAGAACAGGUUCAGCAAAUAAAAAAAGACAAAAGCGCAUGAUCAGCAACAAUACCAGAACAUCUACAACCAAAAAUGAAAAUUUAAUUAUUAUGAAAAUUGGGGUAAGAAAGAUUACACACCAGUACUUAAUCAGGCGAUCCCAACCACAAGUUGCCACUUUACUUUGUUCCAGUGGAUGCCACUCACACCCAACGCUCACUCCCUCAUGACACUUGAGGGUCCUGAAAACUUUGCAACUCUUCCAGUCCCAAAACCAGCACUUACUCUCACCAUCUCCUGACAUAACAAACCGUCAAUCUGGUGAGAAAUUGACUUGGCAAGCAUAACCUGCCACGAUAUGCCUAGCAAACCUCUUCUUCUUAUUCAACUGAAACCUUUCCCUGGUACUGUAGAUAAGAAUCUGGUUAUCCAAACUCUGUGCUGCAAACCAGUUUGUGUUGGGAUGAACAGCAAUUGACGGCAUAGAAUGCAUGUGUGGUUCACUUAUAUGCUUGAUAACUACAGGGAUCCCAAAUUCCCAUACACGAAGAGAUUUAUCAUCACUUGAGGUAACAAAUCUCCUAUUACUAUCCACAAAAGUGACGGUAUUUACUGCCCCCAAAUGUUGAUCGUACUCCUGAGUGAUCUGCCCUGUAUUCAUAUCCCACUGCACAAUUUUCUUAUCACUCAUACCCACCAACAGUAUAUUCUGCUUAUCAUCAUCAGAAUUAAGCUUAACAACAUAAGGGAUCUUCCCAGUUGAAAAAGUUGAGAUAAACCGCCAGUCUCUGUAACCCAGCACUUGAUAUUCUUAUCAUAUCCAGCAGUCAAAAACUUAGUCCCAUCAUUACAAACGAAAUAUCCCUAACAGCCUUUGAAUGACCCAUGUAAGUUCUCGUACACUUACCUGAAUUGAACACAUCCCAUAUCUUCACUUUGGUAUCCAUCCCUGCAGAAAGAAUCAAAUGACCAUAUUUGGGGAAGAACCUUAUCGCAGAAACUCCCUUUGUAUGCCCACUCCAUGUAUGCACAAGUCUCUUUGGUAUGUAACAAUGAUCAUUAGUCGUUUUAGCAUCCUUGGGCGGCGCAAUCCAGGAUCUUCCCUGAUAAUCCCUCUCUUCCUUGCCGUGAAAAGUGCUCUUAUCAGUAACAACCUCCCCUUUUUCACCUCCAGCACCUUUCGCUUCUUUCUUCUUAGCGCACUCUUCUGCAUAUUUCUUCUGCUCUUCUGUCAAUUCUUCGUGCCUGCCCAUGGGCUCUUUCUAUUCUUCAUCAACCAGGCAUCGCUCGCCGGAUUAUCAAUCUCUGCCUUAUCUACAUCAGUAUCCACAUUCUCACCCUCAUCCUCCUCGGUUUCUUUCUUCUUCUCAAAUUUUCGCCUCUUUUGCUCAUGCUGCGGUAUAUUGCAAACCGAUAUACCAUUAUUAUUUUGUAAAGCAUUCAAAUCGCCAAUAUAAUUGUUACCUGCGGAGGCCGAAAGAUCGGCAGCGUAACGAUACUUGUGGAAGGUGUUGUACUGCUCAUCGAAAACGAACGAGUCGAUGGCAGCGUCCUCCACGAAGCCAAGCUUGUGGUUGCGCAUGCCCCGAGCAAUACCGUCCUUGGCGUAGGGAUGUGCCGGGCCAUAGAUGGAAGCCCAGAGCUGGCCGUAGGUAGGGUUAAAUGCAACAGCGUGGUGUACUGGAUCAGCGCGGUUGGCCUGCGCCACCGUUGGGGCCAGCAAGACAUCAAAGAUGUAACCCCGGUACAAAAAUCUUUCCUCAUUCCCAUCGCCAUUAUUUGAAAAUAAU